rnacentral:rRNA from 1 species
AUUGAACGCUGGCGGCAUGCCUUACACAUGCAAGUCGAACGGAAACAGGUCUUCGGAUGCUGACGAGUGGCGAACGGGUGAGUAAUACAUCGGAACGUGCCUAGUAGUGGGGGAUAACUACUCGAAAGAGUGGCUAAUACCGCAUGAGAUCUACGGAUGAAAGCAGGGGAUCGCAAGACCUUGUGCUACUAGAGCGGCCGAUGGCAGAUUAGGUAGUUGGUGGGAUAAAAGCUUACCAAGCCGACGAUCUUGAGAUGGUCUGAGAGGACGAUCAGCCACACUGGGACUGAGACACGGCCCAGACUCCUACGGGAGGCAGCAGUGGGGAAUUUUGGACAAUGGGCGAAAGCCUGAUCCAGCAAUGCCGCGUGCAGGAUGAAGGCCUUCGGGUUGUAAACUGCUUUUGUACGGAACGAAAAGCCCCGGGUUAAUACCCUGGGGUCAUGACGGUACCGUAAGAAUAAGCACCGGCUAACUACGUGCCAGCCGCCGCGGUAA